rnacentral:rRNA from 1 species
UACGGAGGAUGCGAGCGUUAUCCGGAUUUAUUGGGUUUAAAGGGUGCGUAGGCGGCCGAGUAAGUCAGCGGUGAAAUUUUGCAGCUUAACUGUAACAGUGCCGUUGAUACUGCAUGGCUAGGAUUUGGUUGCUGUGGGUGGAAUGUGUGGUGUAGCGGUGAAAUGCUUAGAUAUCACACAGAAUAUCGAUUGCGAAGGCAGCUCACAAAGCCAAGAUUGACGCUGAGGCACGAAAGUGUGGGGAUCAAACAGGGUUAGAUACCCUGGUAGUCCACACUGUAAACGAUGGAUACUAGCUGUUUGGUAGCAAUACUGAGUGGCUAAGCGAAAGUGAUAAGUAUCCCACCUGGGGAGUACGUUCGCAAGAAUGAA